GACUCACGCACAUUGACUCUUCCCGCUCCGGGGAAGGAACGUGACAACCACGCCCCUCCGGCCCACACUUCCGGCACCACGUGCUGACCUCACAAUCAACAGCGAGCGCGUGCUCACCUCCCGGAACUUAAUAGACCAAGAACAACCAUGUCUUCAGCCUGAAUUAAUUUUAUUUUGGAUUAUGGAAUACAGAACAAAAGAACAAGAGCAAAGACUCUAUGAGAGAGCACAGUGUGUGUGUUCGUCUGAAACAGACUGUGAGCCUUGACAGUGUUCAGAGAGUGUCCUGGGAAGUUCGAGCCAUGGUCAAGAUCUUUGCCUCUCUUGGCUUGUGAAAGCCACCACAGAUGCAUUAUCCUGGUGAAGAAUUCCACUAAUAGUGCUUCCUUCAGGCCACAGUACAGCACAGAGAGGCUGAUAGUUGGGAUGACAUUGUCUGAGAGCCAGCUUUCCAUAAAAGCAACGUCAGAUCUAUCAAGCUGCUUUUGAUAUCAUUGACCACAAGGUAUUGAUGAACUGACUGCAUCAAUUAACUGGGUUGGACUAGAGUUCUUAUCAUUGCUUCAAAGGAG